rnacentral:rRNA from 1 species
CCUACGGGAGGCAGCAGUGAGGAAUAUUGGUCAAUGGGCGAGAGCCUGAACCAGCCAAGUAGCGUGCAGGACGCGGCCCUAUGGGUUGUAAACUGCUUUUAUAAGGGAAUAAAGUGGGUCACGUGUGACUUUUUGCAUGUACCUUAUGAAUAAGGACCGGCUAAUUCCGUGCCAGCAGCC